rnacentral:RNase_P_RNA from 1 species
CCAGAUAGUUUGAUGACUGCUCACAUUUUGAGAGGAAAGUCCGGGCUCCUUGGGAACAUGAUGGCGGAUAACAUCCGCCAGAGGUAACUUUAGGGAAAGUGCAACAGAAAAUAAACCGCCAUGAGUUUUAUGGUAAGGAUGAAAAGGUAUGGUAAGAGCAUACCGCUUUUUUGGUAACAAAAAAGGCAUGGCAAACCCCAUCAGGAGCAAAACUAAAAAGAGGUGUACGUUAUAAUGCGUUUCCACAUUUACACCAGGGUAAGUUGCUUGAGAUAGUUGGUAACAAUUAUCCCAGAUUAAUAGUCAUCACUUAAUAAAUAAAAGAUUCGAAGUUUUAUUUGUUAAGUACAGAACCCGGCUUAUUACUAUCUGGCUUU